GAUGAACGCUGGCGGCGGGCCUAAUACAUGCAAGUCGAGCGAACAGAUGAGGAGCUUUCUCCUCUGACGUUAGCGGCGGACGGGUGAGUAACACGUAGAUAACCUACCUAUAAGACUGGGAUAACUUCGGGAAACCGGAUCUAAUACCGGAUAAUAUGUUGAACGGCAUGGUUCAAUAGUGAAAGACGGUUUUGCUGUCACUUAUAGAUGGAUCCGCGUCGGAUUAGCUAGUUGGUAAGGUAACGGCCUACCAAGGCGACGAUGCGUAGCCGAUCUGAGAGGAUGAUCAGCCACACUGGAACUGAGACACGGUCCAGACUCCUACGGGAGGCAGCAGUAGGGAAUAUUGCGCAAUGGGCGAAAGCCUGACGGAGCCACGCCGCGUGAGUGAUGAAGGUCUUCGGAUUGUAAAGCUCUUUUAUUAGGGAAGAAAAACUGUAUGUGUAUCUAUGCAUGUUUUGACGGUACCUAAAGAGAAAGCAACGGCUAACUACGUG
rnacentral:rRNA from 1 species